GAUGAACGCUGGCGGCGUGCCUAAUACAUGCAAGUCGAGCGAACAGACGAGGAGCUUGCUCCUCUGACGUUAGCGGCGGACGGGUGAGUAACACGUGGAUAACCUACCUAUAAGACUGGGAUAACUUCGGGAAACCGGAGCUAAUACCGGAUAAUAUAUUGAACCGCAUGGUUCAAUAGUGAAAGACGGUUUUGCUGUCACUUAUAGAUGGAUCCGCGCCGCAUUAGCUAGUUGGUAAGGUAACGGCUUACCAAGGCAACGAGGCGUAGCCGACCUGAGAGGGUGAUCGGCCACACGGGAACUGAGACACGGUCCAGACUCCUACGGGAGGCAGCAGUAGGGAAUCUUCCGCAAUGGGCGAAAGCCUGACGGAGCAACGCCGCGUGAGUGAUGAAGGUCUUCGGAUCGUAAAACUCUGUUAUUAGGGAAGAACAAAUGUGUAAGUAACUAUGCACGUCUUGACGGUACCUAAUCAGAAAGCCACGGCUAACUACGUG
rnacentral:rRNA from 1 species